AGAGCUUAAAGCUUUUCUUGAGCAGAUGAUCGCACGAAUAAAAACAGCAAGAUUAGGACUAAAAUUGUUAACCUAGCCUUCUUCGUGAGAAUGAGUUGGUUGAUUAUUUUUUUGUUAGUUAUGUUAGCAACUCAAGUUUGGUUUUGAGAAAUGAAGCAGAUGGAAGUGUAUGGGCUUUGAGCUUUUCAUGACCACCGGGGAGAUUGAAUUCCUGGCUUCUCUUCUUCUGUUGGCUAUGGUACUAACAUGGUAGUCGAGCUUUGGACUGUCAGGCAUGGCGUCACCAUCGCCAAAGAGAGGUUGCCCCCCCCUCCCCCUGAAGUUGAAUAUGACUCCUUGGAAGCUCUUCGAUGCCAGUCCUCACAUCUUCAUAUUCAGGAUCUUCUUGGCUCGAGUAGACCAUAACAAUUCAAUGGAUCUUCAGAAUGUUCCUCCUCCUAUACUUCGGUAUCUUUUAGGUGCUGAUAGAAUAGGCAUUGCAGCAGGUUCCUACAUGGAUCAUAACUCCCGCCAUUCACUACAACAGUUGCAGAAGAAAGUUAAAAGAAUAUAAGAAAUAAAUAUAGUAACCAUUGCAGCAUGGCAUGAAGUUAGACAAAUGAGGUGUGCUGCUGGACCCAACACACAGUCUGCUGGGCGUUAUCUGUUCUGCCCACCAAUUCCGAGAAGAUCAGGACGUGAGAGUUUAUUUGAUUUUAUCUAAUUGAUUUGAAGUCUGU